rnacentral:misc_RNA from 1 species
GAUGAAGAACGCAGCGAAAUGCGAUAAGUAAUGUGAAUUGCAGAAUUCAGUGAAUCAUCGAAUCUUUGAACGCACAUUGCGCCCGCCAGUAUUCUGGCGGGCAUGCCUGUUCGAGCGUCAUUUCAACCAUCAAGCCCCGGCUUGUGUUGGGGACCUGCGGCUGCCGCAGGCCCUGAAAACCAGUGGCGGGCUCGCUAGUCACUCCGAGCGUAGUAAUACAUCUCGCUCAGGGCGUGCUGCGGGUUCCGGCCGUUAAAAGCCUUAUUUUACCCAAGGUUGACCUCGGAUCAGGUAGGAAGACCCGCUGAACUUAAGCAUAUCAAUAAGCGGAGGA